AACAGGAUUAGAUACCCUGGUAGUCCACGCCGUAAACGAUGUCGACUUGGAGGUUGUGCCCUUGAGGCGUGGCUUCCGGAGCUAACGCGUUAAGUCGACCGCCUGGGGAGUACGGCCGCAAGGUUAAAACUCAAAUGAAUUGACGGGGGCCCGCACAAGCGGUGGAGCAUGUGGUUUAAUUCAAUGCAACGCGAAGAACCUUACCUGGUCUUGACAUCCACAGAACUUUCCAGAGAUGGAUUGGUGCCUUCGGGAACUGUGAGACAGGUGCUGCAUGGCUGUCGUCAGCUCGUGUUGUGAAAUGUUGGGUUAAGUCCCGCAACGAGCGCAACCCUUAUCCUUUGUUGCCAGCGGUCCGGCCGGGAACUCAAAGGAGACUGCCAGUGAUAAACUGGAGGAAGGUGGGGAUGACGUCAAGUCAUCAUGGCCCUUACGACCAGGGCUACACACGUGCUACAAUGGCGCAUACAAAGAGAAGCGACCUCGCGAGAGCAAGCGGACCUCAUAAAGUGCGUCGUAGUCCGGAUUGGAGUCUGCAACUCGACUCCAUGAAGUCGGAAUCGCUAGUAAUCGUGGAUCAGAAUGCCACGGUGAAUACGUUCCCGGGCCUUGUACACACCGCCCGUCACACCAUGGGAGUGGGUUGCAAAAGAAGUAGGUAGCUUAACCUUCGGGAGGGCGCUUACCACUUUGUGAUUCAUGACUGGGGUGAAGUCGUAACAAGGUAACC
rnacentral:rRNA from 1 species